GCCUGGGUGGCUCAGUCGGUUAAGCAUCCGACUUCGGCUCAGGUCAUGAUCUUGCAGUUCGUGGGUUCAAGCCCCGUGUCAGGCU
rnacentral:tRNA from 1 species